CUCUUAUCCAGAGAGGCAGAGGGACUGGCCCAAUGAAGCCUCGGCAACCGGAUUACCAGGUGCCAAUUCCAGCAAAGCCGUGUGCUUUGAAAGAUAAGAG
rnacentral:ncRNA from 2 species